GCUGGGCAUGGUGGCACAUGCCUGUAUUCCCAGCUACUCGGAAGGCUGAGGCAGGAGGAUAGCUUGAGCCCAGGACGUCAAGGUUGCAGUGAGCCAAGAUUGUGCCACUGCACUCCGGCCUGGGCAACAGAGCAAGACCCUGCCUCAA
rnacentral:SRP_RNA from 1 species